rnacentral:hammerhead_ribozyme from 1 species
AUCCACCUGACGAGUCUGAGAGAGGACGAAGUGAGCGUCGUGGAU